rnacentral:rRNA from 1 species
CCCUUAGAUGUUCUGGGCCGCACACGCGCUACACUGAAGGAGGCAGCGUGUACUCCUGGAUCGAAAGAUUUGGGUAACCCGCGAAUCUCCUUCGUGCUAGGGAUUGAGGUUUGCAAUUAUCCUUCAUGAACGAGGAAUUCCCAGUAAGUGCAAGUCAUAAGCUUGCGCUGACUACGUCCCUGCCCUUUGUACACACCGCCCGUCGCUACUACCGAUUGAAUGAUUAGUGAGGACUUCGGACUGGGACCGAUGCGGCUUUCGGGCUGCGUCGGUAUUCUGGAAAGAUGUCCAAACUGUAUCAUUUAGAGGAAGUAAAAGUCGUAACA